rnacentral:tRNA from 1 species
GCGGGUAUAGUAUAAUGGCUAUUAUGCGUGCCUUCCAAGCACGAGAAGCGGGUUCGAUUCCCGCUACCCGCU